AGGACGAACGCUGGCGGCGUGCUUAACACAUGCAAGUCGAGCGGUAAGGCACUUCGGUGUACACGAGCGGCGAACGGGUGAGUAACACGUGAGUAAUCUGCCCUUCACUCUGGGAUAAGCACUCGAAAGGGUGUCUAAUACCGGAUACGACGGACCACCGCAUGGUGUGUUUGUGGAAACUUUUAUGGGUGGGGGAUGUGCUCGCGGCCUAUCAGCUUGUUGGUGAGGUAAUGGCUCACCAAGGCUUCGACGGGUAGCCGGCCUGAGAGGGCGAUCGGCCACACUGGGACUGAGACACGGCCCAGACUCCUACGGGAGGCAGCAGUGGGGAAUAUUGGACAAUGGGCGGAAGCCUGAUCCAGCAACGCCGCGUGAGGGAUGACUGCCUUCGGGUUGUAAACCUCUUUCAUCAUUGACGAAGCUUCAACGUUGUUGGGGUGACGGUA
rnacentral:rRNA from 1 species